rnacentral:rRNA from 1 species
UACGUAGGGGGCUAGCGUUGUCCGGAUUUAUUGGGCGUAAAGAGCGUGUAGGCGGCCAGGUAGGUCUGCUGUGAAAACUCGAGGCUCAACCUCGAGACGUCGGCGGAAACCAUCUGGCUAGAGUCCGGAAGAGGAGAGUGGAAUUCCCGGUGUAGCGGUGAAAUGCGCAGAUAUCGGGAAGAACACCCGUGGCGAAGGCGGCUCUCUGGGACGGUACUGACGCUGAGACGCGAAAGCGUGGGGAGCAAACGGG